ensembl:snoRNA SNORD36 Small nucleolar RNA SNORD36
AUGCGAUGAUGUCUGAAUUUCUUCACCUGAAACUUGAGUGUUGAGCAAAAAAUCACGAGCUUUUUAACCCUGAGCACC